rnacentral:rRNA from 1 species
UACAGAGGAUGCAAGCGUUAUCCGGAAUGAUUGGGCGUAAAGCGUCUGUAGGUGGCUUUUUAAGUCCGCCGUCAAAUCCCAGGGCUCAACUCUGGACAGGCGGUGGAAACUACCAAGCUGGAGUACGGUGGGGGCAGAGGGAAUUUCCGGUGGAGCGGUGAAAUGCGUAGAGAUCGGAAAGAACACCAACGGCGAAGGCGGCCUUCUGGACCAAUACUGACGCUCAUGCACGAAAGCGUGGGGAGCAAACAGG